rnacentral:rRNA from 1 species
AGAGGACGAUCAGCCACACUGGAACUGAGACACGGUCCAGACUCCUACGGGAGGCAGCAGUGGGGAAUAUUGCACAAUGGAGGAAACUCUGAUGCAGCAACGCCGCGUGGAGGAUGACGCAUUUCGGUGUGUAAACUCCUUUUAUAUGGGAAGAUAAUGACAGUACCAUAUGAAUAAGCACCAGCUAACUCCGUGCCAGCAGCCGCGGUAAUACGGAGGGUGCAAGCGUUACUCGGAAUCACUGGGCGUAAAGCGCGCGCAGGCGGCCUUUUAAGUUGGAUGUGAAAGCCUACGGCUCAACCGUAGAACUGCAUCCAAAACUAUUGGGCUAGAGUGUGGGAGAGGAAGAUGGAAUUAGUUGUGUAGGGGUAAAAUCCGUAGAGAUAACUAGGAAUACCAAAAGCGAAGGCAAUCUUCUGGAACAUUACUGACGCUGAGGCGCGAAAGCGUGGGGAGCAAACAGGAUUAGAUACCCUGGUAGUCCACGCCCUAAACGAUGAAUGUUAGUCGUCGGGUAGCUAGUCUAUUCGGUGAUGCAGCUAACGCAUUAAACAUUCCGCCUGGGGAGUACGGUCGCAAGAUUAAAACUCAAAGGAAUAGACGGGGACCCGCACAAGUGGUGGAGCAUGUGGUUUAAUUCGAAAAUACGCGAAGAACCUUACCUAGCCUUGACAUAUAUUAGAACACCCUAGAGAUAGAGUGGUGCUUUCGGGAGCUUUUAUACAGGUGCUGCACGGCUGUCGUCAGCUCGUGUCGUGAGAUGUUGGGUUAAGUCCCGCAACGAGCGCAACCCUCGUCACUAGUUACUAACGGUUCGGCCGAGGACUCUAGUGAGACUGCCUUCGUAAGGAGGAGGAAGGUGAGGACGACGUCAAGUCAUCAUGGCCCUUACGGCUAGGGCAACACACGUGCUACAAUGGCCAGGACAAUGAGACGCGAUACCGCGAGGUGGAGCAAAUCUAUAAACCUGGUCUCAGUUCGGAUUGUAGUCUGCAACUCGACUACAUGAAGCUGGAAUCACUAGUAAUCGUAGAUCAGCUAUGCUACGGUGAAUACGUUCCCGGGUCUUGUACUCACCGCCCGUCACACCAUGGGAGUUGAUUUCACCCGAAGCGGGGAAGCUAAACUGGCUACCCUCCACGGUGGAAUCAGCGACUGGGGUGAAGUCGUAACAAGGUAACCGUAGGAGAACCUGCGGUUG